rnacentral:rRNA from 1 species
CGGAGGGUGCAAGCGUUAUCCGGAAUCAUUGGGUUUAAAGGGUCCGCAGGCGGGAAUAUAAGUCAGUGGUGAAAGCCCGUUGCUUAACAACGGAACUGCCAUUGAUACUGUAUUUCUUGAAUUCGAUCGAAGUGGGCGGAAUGUGACAUGUAGCGGUGAAAUGCUUAGAUAUGUCACAGAACACCGAUAGCGAAGGCAGCUCACUAGGUCUGGAUUGACGCUCAGGGACGAAAGCGUGGGGAGCAAACAGGAUUAGAUACCCUGGUAGUCCACGCCGUAAACUAUCAAUACUCGUUCUUGGCUCUUCGGAGUCGGGACUAAGCGAAAGUGAUAAGUAUUGCACCUGGGGAGUACGAUCGCAAGGUUG